rnacentral:rRNA from 1 species
UACGUAGGGGGCAAGCGUUGUUCGGAAUUACUGGGCGUAAAGGGCGCGUAGGCGGCACGGCAAGUCAGGAGUGAAAGCCCGGGGCUCAACCCCGGAAUGUCUUUUGAAACUGCCGAGCUAGAGUGCGGAAGAGGCAACUGGAAUUCCCAGUGUAGCGGUGAAAUGCGUAGAUAUCUGGAGGAACACCGGUGGCGAAGGCGGCAUCCUGGACCGACACUGACGCUGAGGAGCGAAAGCCAGGGGAGCAAACGGG